rnacentral:sRNA from 12 species
UGGCCAGAGCAGGACUUUUGCUGUUUGACCUGCGAAUCACCGACCGAAGGAGAAUAGGCCGUCAGGAAGGUGACUGGCUU